AUUGAACGCUGGCGGCAGGCUUAACACAUGCAAGUCGAACGAGCGGCGGACGGGUGAGUAAUGUCUGGGAAACUGCCUGAUGGAGGGGGAUAACUACUGGAAACGGUAGCUAAUACCGCAUACCAUCAGAUGUGCCCAGAUGGGAUUAGCUAGUAGGUGGGGUAAUGGCUCACCUAGGCGACGAUCCCUAGCGGGUCUGAGAGGAUGACCAGCCAAACGGGAACUGAGAAACGGUCCAGACUCCUAGGGGAGGCAGUAGUGGGGAAUAUUGCACAAGGGGCGAAAGCCUGAUGCAGCCAUGCCGGGGGGGGGAAGAAGGCCUUCGGGUUGUAAAGAACUUUCAGCGAGGAGGCGUUACUCGCAGAAGAAGCACCGGCUAACUACGUGCCAGCAGCCGCGGUAAUUC
rnacentral:rRNA from 1 species